rnacentral:rRNA from 1 species
UACGGAGGGUGCGAGCGUUGUCCGGAAUCACUGGGCGUAAAGGGCGCGUAGGCGGCUAUGUAAGUCACCUGUGAAAUUCCGGGGCUCAACUCCGGGGCGGCAGGUGAGACUGCAUAGCUGGAGCUCGGUAGAGGCGGAGUGGAAUUCCCGGUGUAGCGGUGGAAUGCGUAGAUAUCGGGAAGAACACCAGUGGCGAAGGCGGCUCGCUGGGCCGAUGCUGACGCUGAGGCGCGAAAGCGUGGGGAGCAAACAGG